CAAAUUUGAAAUCUGGCACCUUCGGUGUCCGAGUUGUAAUUUGAAGAAGGUAACUUUGGAGUCAGCUCUUGUCUAUGUUCCUUGGAACAGGACGUCACAGAGGGUGAGAAUCCCGUGCGAUGAGAUGUCUGAUUCUAUGUAAAGUGCUUUCGAAGAGUCGAGUUGUUUGGGAAUGCAGCUCUAAGUGGGUGGUAAAUUCCAUCUAAAGCUAAAUAUUGGCGAGAGACCGAUAGCGAACAAGUACAGUGAUGGAAAGAUGAAAAGAACUUUGAAAAGAGAGUGAAAAAGUACGUGAAAUUGUUGAAAGGGAAGGGUUUGAGAUCAGACUUGGUAUUUUGUAUGUCUUGCUUUCGGGUGGGGCCUCUACAGUUUACUGGGCCAGCAUCGGUUUGGACGGUAGGAUAAUGACAUUGGAAUGUGGCACCACUUCGGUGGUGUGUUAUAGACUUUGUUGAUACUGCCUGUCUAGACCGAGGACUGCGUCUUUGACUAGGAUGCUGGCAUAAUGAUCUUAAACC
rnacentral:rRNA from 1 species